rnacentral:rRNA from 1 species
GAUGAACGCUGGCGGCGUGCCUAAUACAUGCAAGUCGAGCGAACAGAUAAGGAGCUUGCUCCUUUGACGUUAGCGGCGGACGGGUGAGUAACACGUGGGUAACCUACCUAUAAGACUGGAAUAACUCCGGGAAACCGGGGCUAAUGCCGGAUAACAUUUAGAACCGCAUGGUUCUAAAGUGAAAGAUGGUUUUGCUAUCACUUAUAGAUGGACCCGCGCCGUAUUAGCUAGUUGGUAAGGUAACGGCUUACCAAGGCAACGAUACGUAGCCGACCUGAGAGGGUGAUCGGCCACACUGGAACUGAGACACGGUCCAGACUCCUACGGGAGGCAGCAGUAGGGAAUCUUCCGCAAUGGGCGAAAGCCUGACGGAGCAACGCCGCGUGAGUGAUGAAGGUCUGCGGAUCGUAAAACUCUGUUAUUAGGGAAGAACAAAUGUGUAAGUAACGGUGCACGUCUUGACGGUACCUAAUCAGAAAGCCACGGCUAACUACGU